CAACCCCAGCCUCAGCCAGGACAAGAGCUCUGAAUUGACCAUCCAUCCACCCCUGAACCCCAGCCGGACAAGAGCUCCUGAAUCGACCCUUCAUCCACCCCUCAACCCAGCCUCAGCCAGGAAAGAGCUCCUGAAUCAACCAUCCAUCCACCCCUCAACCCCAGCCUCGGCAGGACAGAGCUCCUGAAACGACCACCAUCCACACCCUCAACCCCGCCUCAGCCAGGACAAGAGCUCCAGAAUCGACCAUCCAUCCACCCUCAACCCCAGCCUCAGCCAGGACAAGAGCUCCAGAAUCGACCAUCCAUCCACCCUCAACCCCAGCCUAAGCCAGGGCAAGAGCUCCUGAAUCGACCCUCCAUCCACCCUCAACCCAAGCCUCAGUCAAGACAAGAGCUCCUGAAUCGACCAUCCAUCCACCCCUGAACCCCAGCCAGGACAAGAGCUCCUGAAUCGACCCUUCAUCCACCCUCAACCCCAGCCUCAGCCAGGACAGAGCUCCUGAAUCACCAUCCAUCCACCCCUCAACCCCAGCCUCGGCCAGGACAAGAGCUCCUGAAUCGACCAUCCAUCCACCCUCAACACCAGCCUCAGCCAGGACAAGAGCUCCUGAUCGACCCUCCCUCCGUCCAUCCACCCCUCAACCCAGCCUCAGUCAGGAAAAGAGCUCCUGAAUCGUCCAUCCACCCCUCAACCCCAGCCUCGGCCAGGACAAGAGCUCCUGAAUCGACCCUCCAUCCACCCCUCAACCCCAGCCUCAGCCAGGAUAAGAGGUCCUGAAUCGACCCUCCAUCCACCCCUCAACCCCAGCCUCAGCCAGGAUAAGAGCUCCUGAUGCAGAGAAACACCAAAACCAUUUUAAUGCUUUCUCUCUUUGUAUUAUUCUGAGAUCAGUGUUCUUCAUGAUAAUGAACCAGCUGUGUAGUGCUAGGGCAAAAAACUAAAUGUGCACUCAGUGGGGGCCCCUGGACCAAGUUUGGGAAACCCUGCCCUAGAGAAGAACCGUAUAGACAGGAGAUUUAGCAACUCUUGGAGGACAAUCGAAUUAAAUAAAAUAAAUUAAAUAUAUUGUUAAAAGUGGAACCAACACGUUUCAGCUUUUGGCCUUUAAACAAA
rnacentral:lncRNA from 1 species